rnacentral:rRNA from 1 species
GAUGAACGCUGGCGGCGUGCUUAACACAUGCAAGUCGAACGAUGAAGCCCAGCUUGCUGGGUGGAUUAGUGGCGAACGGGUGAGUAACACGUGAGUAACCUGCCCUUAACUCUGGGAUAAGCCUGGGAAACUGGGACUAAUACCGGAUAGGAGCGUCCACCGCAUGGUGGGUGUUGGAAAGAUUUAUCGGUUUUGGAUGGACUCGCGGCCUAUCAGCUUGUUGGUGAGGUAAUGGCUCACCAAGGCGACGACGGGUAGCCGGCCUGAGAGGGUGACCGGCCACACUGGGACUGAGACACGGCCCAGACUCCUACGGGAGGCAGCAGUGGGGAAUAUUGCACAAUGGGCGCAAGCCUGAUGCAGCGACGCCGCGUGAGGGAUGACGGCCUUCGGGUUGUAAACCUCUUUCAGUAGGGAAGAAGCGAAAGUGACGGUACCUGCAGAAGAAGCACCGGCUAACUACGUG